rnacentral:lncRNA from 1 species
AAUAGGAGGAAAGAGAGUCAUGCAGAAAAAGAGCCUGGAUUUUAUAAACAAACGCUCUGUCAAGUGGUCUUGGGGCCUCUUGGCGUUUGCUCCCCGUUCUGUUCCUGGGUUCCUUUGGUUUGGUGUACCACUGUAGGGCUCAACUCACUGAUGGCUGUAGCCAGUGGACACGAAAUGUCCAUCUUCGUCACCUCAUGAUUGGGAUCACUGACAUCUAAUGAUCCCAACUAAGGCAACCUCUUAAAUUCAGAAAGGUCUGUCUGCAGCAGCUGGGAAAUUGCCUCGUGGGUCACAGCCACAGCAAACGAUGGGGGAGCGUUCCUAGGAAGAAGAUGUGAGAGGCGGGGCUGGAGCAGCUCCUGGCAUCCUCCACCUUGAAGAUGGAGAUGAUGGCUCAUACCUUCCUCUUGGUGUCAUCACAAGCAGGGCUCUGAACCUUAGGAAUCCUGCUUAAAACUGAUGCCCCAAGUCUCUGGGCAGACGGGGUCACUAUUCUUGGGGCCUCAAAUGCUUCU